ACCCUGGCUUACCAGGUCCUCCGGGCCCUCAUGGACCACAUGGAUUGGAUGGCACGCCAGGACUGGCAGGGCAGAGAGGUGAAGCAGGUCAGCCAGGACCCCCUGGACCACCAGGAGAGAGGGGUCUACAAGGAUUUAUUGGCAAAGCCGGAAACCCAGGAACACUAGGAGCUGCUGGGCCCCCAGGACCCCCUGGUACUGCGGGCCUUCCAGGACUUAAGGGCGAUAAGGGUGAAAUUGGUGUUGGAGUGCCAGGUUCAAGAGGAGAGCAAGGAGACCCAGGGCCUAGGGGAGAAGAAGGUCGGGCUGGAACAGAUGGAGAGAGAGGCCCUACUGGUCCUCCUGGCAGCAAAGGAAACA